rnacentral:lncRNA from 1 species
UUUUCACAACCCUCUAAUCCCUACAAAAUCACUCUCAAACUCUUGCAAAUUCUGAAAUUCGGGCAGAUUCAUACCUCCUUACAAAAAUGAGCAUAACUUGCUCAAAACUCAACCAAAUCACUUGAUUCUUCUUUCUAAAUGUUUGGAUAAUCUUUGGGCAUGAUUCCUUGAUCUCUCCUUGGAGAAAUCAGACCUGGAAAUACCCUAAAAGUGUCCAUAAACUUUCUGUUUUGUUUUAAAACUUUCUAAACUCUUGUAUACUUCACACAAACUUGUGUUCUUAUGCUUCUAGUCUAUUGUAUGAUUAGUAAAUCCAAACCAAGGUUGUUUUACACUUAAUAUGAGUGCCUAAACACUCUAAACUUUCUGUUUUAAUCGAGUUCUUAACUCACAAGUGGUGCCAAGUCUUGAACUUGAAGAUGGUGUGACUACUUGGCUAGCCUAGGCUAACCUACUACAUAAACAAGUCCACACAUCACUUGAUGUUUUGCUUAGUUAAUUGUAUUAUUUCUUGUACAUAUCUAUGAGGUUCGUAAAUCGAAGGUUCGCCUUCCUACCUCCUACAUGACCUAUAUUUUAACAUAUCAUUCGAGGUACCAAAGUGGAGGGUUUCACCUCCCACCUCCUACUUGACUUAUGACACCAAGAGGUACCAUAGUGGAAGGUUCAACCUCCCGCCUCCUACAUGACUUUAUAUAUAUUAUUAUGUACAUAGUACGACUAUAAUAAUCCUUAAAACCGAACCCUUGAUAGUGAUUAUAUAAAUCCUCUACCAAGUUAAUAAGUUUAUCACUAUGUGUGUAGUUCCUUGUCACGAAUCUAAUAGGUCUUGAACCUAUGAAAUCACACACAAUCCAUAAGGAUUACUAUAGUGUCAAGACAAGUGCUAAUACCAUAGUGAUUAUUUUCAUGAUACAUACUUUGUUAUUCUUUGAAUCUUAAUUCCGAAUCUCGACUCUAAACAUACUUAAACUUUGACCCUUACACUUUCAAUCUUCAAACCUCAUCAACUUCGUCGCAUUGGAUAAUAAGAAAGCAUAGGCGAAUUUUGCUAUGGUAUGCGUUGUAUUCUUGGGUUUGAUCAUAUUGUUAAUUUUUGAGGUGAUACUUCGAGAUGAAACAAGAUUUAGGGUGGACUAGAUACACACUAGAUUAAUCUAUCUUUUAUUGUUAUGUUACAAUUUGAAACAAUGUUGUUAUUUUUUUAUUUGAAUCUUGUAUGACAAUUUAGUAUUACAAUGAAAUUUGAAUU